rnacentral:rRNA from 1 species
CGCUGGCGGCGUGCCUAAUACAUGCAAGUCGAACGCUUCUUUUUCCACCGGAGCUUGCUCCACCGGAAAAAGAGGAGUGGCGAACGGGUGAGUAACACGUGGGUAACCUGCCCAUCAGAAGGGGAUAACACUUGGAAACAGGUGCUAAUACCGUAUAACAAUCGAAACCGCAUGGUUUUGAUUUGAAAGGCGCUUUCGGGUGUCGCUGAUGGAUGGACCCGCGGUGCAUUAGCUAGUUGGUGAGGUAACGGCUCACCAAGGCCACGAUGCAUAGCCGACCUGAGAGGGUGAUCGGCCACAUUGGGACUGAGACACGGCCCAAACUCCUACGGGAGGCAGCAGUAGGGAAUCUUCGGCAAUGGACGAAAGUCUGACCGAGCAACGCCGCGUGAGUGAAGAAGGUUUUCGGAUCGUAAAACUCUGUUGUUAGAGAAGAACAAGGAUGAGAGUAACUGUUCAUCCCUUGACGGUAUCUAACCAGAAAGCCACGGCUAACUACGUGCCAGCAGCCGCGGUAAUACGUAGGUGGCAAGCGUUGUCCGGAUUUAUUGGGCGUAAAGCGAGCGCAGGCGGUUUCUUAAGUCUGAUGUGAAAGCCCCCGGCUCAACCGGGGAGGGUCAUUGGAAACUGGGAGACUUGAGUGCAGAAGAGGAGAGUGGAAUUCCAUGUGUAGCGGUGAAAUGCGUAGAUAUAUGGAGGAACACCAGUGGCGAAGGCGGCUCUCUGGUCUGUAACUGACGCUGAGGCUCGAAAGCGUGGGGAGCAAACAGGAUUAGAUACCCUGGUAGUCCACGCCGUAAACGAUGAGUGCUAAGUGUUGGAGGGUUUCCGCCCUUCAGUGCUGCAGCUAACGCAUUAAGCACUCCGCCUGGGGAGUACGACCGCAAGGUUGAAACUCAAAGGAAUUGACGGGGGCCCGCACAAGCGGUGGAGCAUGUGGUUUAAUUCGAAGCAACGCGAAGAACCUUACCAGGUCUUGACAUCCUUUGACCACUCUAGAGAUAGAGCUUCCCCUUCGGGGGCAAAGUGACAGGUGGUGCAUGGUUGUCGUCAGCUCGUGUCGUGAGAUGUUGGGUUAAGUCCCGCAACGAGCGCAACCCUUAUUGUUAGUUGCCAUCAUUCAGUUGGGCACUCUAGCAAGACUGCCGGUGACAAACCGGAGGAAGGUGGGGAUGACGUCAAAUCAUCAUGCCCCUUAUGACCUGGGCUACACACGUGCUACAAUGGGAAGUACAACGAGUCGCGAAGUCGCGAGGCUAAGCUAAUCUCUUAAAGCUUCUCUCAGUUCGGAUUGCAGGCUGCAACUCGCCUGCAUGAAGCCGGAAUCGCUAGUAAUCGCGGAUCAGCACGCCGCGGUGAAUACGUUCCCGGGCCUUGUACACACCGCCCGUCACACCACGAGAGUUUGUAACACCCGAAGUCGGUGAGGUAACCUUCUGGAGCCAGCCGCCUAAGGUGGGAUAGAU